UCUGACAAGCUGGAGCAAGGAUUUCCCAGGAUGGGGAGUCUUGUACAUCCUGAAUAUAAUUGAGAUUAUUUUUUUCUAGAAUGAGAAAUAAUAGCCUUACUUUUUUCCCACAGUGAAAAACAUUCUGGAAAUAAACCAUUUUUUUCCUGUAGAUAUAUUUUUAGAAAACUGGAUAUGAAAUGAAACUCACUUUGGGCUGCAGCAAAUUUCACACAUGGUUCUCUCUUGACUAAAAUUUAAAGCAAACCCUUGGAUCAACUCAAACGUAAUACACACAAUACCAAAAAAAAAUGAAAAAGCAUCGCCCGUGAGCUGCAGGUUUGGCUAUAAAAUGUUGCAUCCCUAAUAGAAGUGUACUUCUAGAUUGCAUAAUCCAAAUCUGUUUUUCACAAAUGAAUAAUUUAAAAAAUACAGUCGUCACAAAUACCGAGGCCGAAUUUUAUGCCAGUUGUAGGCCGGAGGUCCGUAAAUGAGGGCGGUCAUCGAAAAUUACAGCAACAAAAGAUAAUCCAAGUCAAACAUAUACUUCACAUCUCUCCCUGUUUGUCUCCCCAAACAGAAUCAAUUGUCACUUUACAGUCUUUUUGGCUCUGUGUAUGAGGACCUCUAGUGGCCACAGUAGUUACGACCUCUAGAUGUCAGGAAGUGAUUGUAAAGGAACUGAUUUGUCAUUUAAUGACAAAGGACAAAUACUGUAGAAAGAAAAUUUAAAAGAGGAAACAAAUCUCAGUAGUUAAUACUAUAUAAAAACUUACUCAGGCCAGAAUACUUGGCAAGAUUAAAAUCAUAAGCAAUUUCCUGCAUCAUUCUGCUAUAAUUUAAUGUAUAUUGACUAUGCACAGUGUGGCUAUAUGCUUAGAGAUCCAUAUCUCAGUUGAGUUGAAACUCCGUGUAAACUCUGCCACCAUCCUGUCAGCUCUCUACAGCGUAAUAUUCUGUUGCAUGGCUCUUAUUCUCGGAUCUUCAGUUUCUGAUGUUGUUUUAUUCUCCAUCUCUCCCUCCCGUAGUGUGCUCGAGGGAAGACUCCUCGUGGAGCCCAUUAGAGAGGAUUUGAACUCGUCUCAUUGAUGUUAGUCUUGCAUGAGUUUGCAGACUGAAUUGAACCAAGCUCGCUACAAAGAAAAAAAUGAGAUGGCAGUAAAAGGAAAUGGGCUGAGAUGAGGUUGCAGUCAUCCUGGAAAAGGGGCAAUUAAGAAAAAGAGAGAGAUGAGUUCAACACGCGUGCAUGACUGUCAGACUGUUUGUCGGUAAUCGCUUCAAAGUUGAGGCAUAAGAGGGCAGGUCAGAAGGAGAAACACAGGAAAAAGAUGAUGGAAUACGAUAUGACAUGUUGGAGAGCAAGAAUUUGCUAGAUGAUGCCACAAGAAAAGAGUUUUAACAUUGUUUUUCCCUCUGUAUUUCUCAGAGUUGAUCAAAAAGGUUUGUUUGUAUUGUUACACAAUAUUUGUUGCAGCCCUCUGGGGAACCAGGCAGCUCCGCAGGCACUGGCCCUACUCUAGAGCCUAUUAACAGUUCGGCUUUCCUUUACUUUAUAAAUGCACAACGGGCCUUGGACAGUGACUUUGUAGCUUUGUGAUUACUCAAAGGUCAGGCCAUUGUCCAUGACCUGCCUGCCUGUCAGUCAGUGUCAAGUCAAGUGUUGUGUAGAACUUCCAGCCCUGUGGAUUCCACAAAGAAGAGCACACGGACGCCAAUGGAUAAAACUGGAUUUUGGGGACAUUACACCCUCCUCACCAGGCCGACCUACGCACAAAGAAACGGGUGGUCCGGAAAACGGGGUUGAUUUGGACAAGGGGCUGUUGAUGGAUGGAUUGCCACUGCCAGUAAAUCAUUGGACACAGAGUGACAGACAACCUUUCACAUUUACAAUCAUCCGAGUGGGAACUGAACAAAAGUGUGAUAUCCUGCAAAAAGGUCUUGACAAAGAAUGACUCCAUGCAUGAAGUUGGUCUGAGCAUGGUGUCAACAACUCCUCAGAACUAUUUGGGACCAUCGACAUAUUUUUUGCCCCUUUAAAUGAGAUGGAACAAGGAACACAUUGUCAUCUGGCAGUACAACAAGAAACAAAGAGCUUUUUUUUCUUCAAAUGGCUGAAUCGCGUUUACAGAGAAAAAAAAACAAAACGACAGCAGCAUCAUUGCACAAUUGAGCCGCACAAACUAUUAAACUAUUUUAAAUAUACAGUAAA